GCCCGGUUAGCUCAAUCGGUAGAGCGUGAGACUCUUAAUCUCAAGGUUGCGGGUGAGUACAUGGCA